AUACGGAAGGUGCAAGCGUUGUUCGGAUUUACUGGGCGUAAAGAGAGUGUAGGUUGUUUAUUAAGUCGGAUGUGAAAUCCCGGGGCUCAACCUCGGAACUGCAUUCGAUACUGAUAGGCUAGAGUUUGGGAGGGGUAAGCGGAAUUCCGUGUGUAGCAGUGAAAUGCGUAGAUAUACGGAGGAACACCAGUGGCGAAGGCGGCUUCCUGGAUCCAGACUGACACUGAGGUGCGAAAGCGUGGGGAGCAAACAGGAUUAGAAACCCCGGUAGUCC
rnacentral:rRNA from 1 species